AKUAGAGKGAYGGAAAAAKRAAAASMMCUUGAAAGAGARUUYAACAKUWCGKGAAAUUGUGAAAGGAAGCGCUUGCACCCAGACUUGCGCGSGGCGGUUCCCCUUCCUUUUGGUUGRGUUAUUCCGCCGUGUCCAGGCCAACAUCGGUUCUGGGGUCGGUUAAAGGCCUGGGGAAUGUAUCUACCCUUCGGGCGUAGACUUAUAGCCCCGGGUGUCAUGCGACCUCCCGGGACCGAGGAACGCGCUUCGGCUCGGAUGUUGGCGUAAUGGUUGUCAGCGACCCGUCUUGAAACACGGACCAAGGAGUCUAACAUCUAUGCGAGUGUUUGGGUGUCAAACCCGGAACGCGGAAUGAAAGUGAACGGAGGUAGGAAGCUUCGGCUGCACUAUCGACCGAUCCUGAUGUCUUCGGAUGGAUUUGAGUAAGAGCAUAGCUGUUGGGACCCGAAAGAUGGUGAACUAUGCCUGAAUAGGGUGAAGCCAGAGGAAACUCUGGUGGAGGCUCGCAGCGGUUCUGACGUGCAAAUCGAUCGUCAAAUUUGGGUAUAGGGGCGAAAGACUAAUCGAACCAUUAAAAAGUUACCGGUGGUUAAGUGUAACCGUGAAAGCGGUUGCAAGUGCCAGGUUCUGGCGCGACACUGUCAAAUUGCGGGGACUCCCUAAAGCUUCCGACGACCGCCUCGCCCACGAAAGUGGGAGUGAGGCACCAGGUUAAUGGCCUCGGGUAUGGUAAAACUGUCGAAGAUGUAACAAUGGGUAAUCUGCAGCCAAGUCCUACGGGCCCCCCCUAAAAGGGGCCUACGGAUGCAGUUCACAGACUAAAUGGCAGUGGGCUCUCGAGUAAGCAGGGCUUAAGAUAUAGUCGGUCCCCUGGGGAAACCCAGGCGCAUACGCUAAAUCUGGAGUGAGGAACCCCCUCUGCGGUCACUCCAGACCUGAMCSGUGCGGGYA
rnacentral:rRNA from 1 species